AGACCACCAGCUAAGGUCCCAAAAUAUAUGUUAAGUGGAAAAGGAUGUGGCGUUGCCCAGACAACUAGGAUGUUGGCUUAGAAGCAGCCAUCAUUUAAAGAGUGCGUAAUAGCUCACUAGUCGAGUGACACUGCGCCGAAAAUGUACCGGGGCUAAACAUAUUACCGAAGCUGUGGAUUGUCCUUUGGACAAUGGUAGGAGAGCGUUCUAAGGGCGUUGAAGCAUGAUCGUAAGGACAUGUGGAGCGCUUAGAAGUGAGAAUGCCGGUGUGAGUAGCGAAAGACGGGUGAGAAUCCCGUCCACCGAUUGACUAAGGUUUCCAGAGGAAGGCUCGUCCGCUCUGGGUUAGUCGGGUCCUAAGCUGAGGCCGACAGGCGUAGGCGAUGGAUAACAGGUUGAUAUUCCUGUACCACCUAUAAUCGUUUUAAUCGAUGGGGGGACGCAGUAGGAUAGGCGAAGCGUGCGAUUGGAUUGCACGUCUAAGCAGUAAGGCUGAGUAUUAGGCAAAUCCGGUACUCGUUAAGGCUGAGCUGUGAUGGGGAGAAGACAUUGUGUCUUCGAGUCGUUGAUUUCACACUGCCGAGAAAAGCCUCUAGAUAGAAAAUAGGUGCCCGUACCGCAAACCGACACAGGUAGUCAAGAUGAGAAUUCUAAGGUGAGCGAGCGAACUCUCGUUAAGGAACUCGGCAAAAUGACCCCGUAACUUCGGGAGAAGGGGUGCUCUUUAGGGUUAACGCCCAGAAGAGCCGCAGUGAAUAGGCCCAAGCGACUGUUUAUCAAAAACACAGGUCUCUGCUAAACCGUAAGGUGAUGUAUAGGGGCUGACGCCUGCCCGGUGCUGGAAGGUUAAGAGGAGUGGUUAGCUUCUGCGAAGCUACGAAUCGAAGCCCCAGUAAACGGCGGCCGUAACUAUAACGGUCCUAAGGUAGCGAAAUUCCUUGUCGGGUAAGUUCCGACCCGCACGAAAGGCGUAACGAUUUGGGCACUGUCUCAACGAGAGACUCGGUGAAAUCAUAGUACCUGUGAAGAUGCAGGUUACCCGCGACAGGACGGAAAGACCCCGUGGAGCUUUACUGUAGCCUGAUAUUGAAAUUCGGCACAGCUUGUACAGGAUAGGUAGGAGCCUUUGAAACGUGAGCGCUAGCUUACGUGGAGGCGCUGGUGGGAUACUACCCUAGCUGUGUUGGCUUUCUAACCCGCACCACUUAUCGUGGUGGGAGACAGUGUCAGGCGGGCAGUUUGACUGGGGCGGUCGCCUCCUAAAAGGUAACGGAGGCGCUCAAAGGUUCCCUCAGAAUGGUUGGAAAUCAUUCAUAGAGUGUAAAGGCAUAAGGGAGCUUGACUGCGAGACCUACAAGUCGAGCAGGGUCGAAAGACGGACUUAGUGAUCCGGUGGUUCCGCAUGGAAGGGCCAUCGCUCAACGGAUAAAAGCUACCCCGGGGAUAACAGGCUUAUCUCCCCCAAGAGUUCACAUCGACGGGGAGGUUUGGCACCUCGAUGUCGGCUCAUCGCAUCCUGGGGCUGUAGUCGGUCCCAAGGGUUGGGCUGUUCGCCCAUUAAAGCGGUACGCGAGCUGGGUUCAGAACGUCGUGAGACAGUUCGGUCCCUAUCCGUCGUGGGCGUAGGAAAUUUGAGAGGAGCUGUCCUUAGUACGAGAGGACCGGGAUGGACAUACCUCUGGUGUACCAGUUGUCGUGCCAACGGCAUAGCUGGGUAGCUAUGUGUGGACGGGAUAAGUGCUGAAAGCAUCUAAGCAUGAAGCCCCCCUCAAGAUGAGAUUUCCCAACUUCGGUUAUAAGAUCCCUCAAAGAUGAUGAGGUUAAUAGGUUCGAGGUGGAAGCAUGGUGACAUGUGGAGCUGACGAAU
rnacentral:rRNA from 1 species